rnacentral:rRNA from 1 species
UUUUAAAUUUAGAGUUUGAUCCUGGCUCAGGACGAACGCUGGCGGCGUGCUUAACACAUGCAAGUCGAGCGAUGAAACUUCCUUCGGGAAGUGGAUUAGCGGCGGACGGGUGAGUAACACGUGGGUAACCUGCCUCAAAGUGGGGGAUAGCCUUCCGAAAGGAAGAUUAAUACCGCAUAAUAUAAGAGAAUCGCAUGAUUUUCUUAUCAAAGAUUUAUUGCUUUGAGAUGGACCCGCGGCGCAUUAGCUAGUUGGUAAGGUAACAGCUUACCAAGGCAACGAUGCGUAGCCGACCUGAGAGGGUGAUCGGCCACAUUGGAACUGAGACACGGUCCAGACUCCUACGGGAGGCAGCAGUGGGGAAUAUUGCGCAAUGGGGGAAACCCUGACGCAGCAACGCCGCGUGGGUGAUGAAGGUCUUCGGAUUGUAAAGCCCUGUUUUCUAGGACGAUAAUGACGGUACUAGAGGAGGAAGCCACGGCUAACUACGUGCCAGCAGCCGCGGUAAUACGUAGGUGGCGAGCGUUGUCCGGAUUUACUGGGCGUAAAGGGUGCGUAGGCGGAUGUUUAAGUGGGAUGUGAAAUCCCCGGGCUUAACCUGGGGGCUGCAUUCCAAACUGGAUAUCUAGAGUGCAGGAGAGGAAAGCGGAAUUCCUAGUGUAGCGGUGAAAUGCGUAGAGAUUAGGAAGAACACCAGUGGCGAAGGCGGCUUUCUGGACUGUAACUGACGCUGAGGCACGAAAGCGUGGGUAGCAAACAGGAUUAGAUACCCUGGUAGUCCACGCCGUAAACGAUGGAUACUAGGUGUAGGGGGUAUCAACUCCCCCUGUGCCGCAGUUAACACAAUAAGUAUCCCGCCUGGGGAGUACGGUCGCAAGAUUAAAACUCAAAGGAAUUGACGGGGGCCCGCACAAGCAGCGGAGCAUGUGGUUUAAUUCGAAGCAACGCGAAGAACCUUACCUGGACUUGACAUCCCUUGCAUAGCCUAGAGAUAGGUGAAGCCCUUCGGGGCAAGGAGACAGGUGGUGCAUGGUUGUCGUCAGCUCGUGUCGUGAGAUGUUAGGUUAAGUCCUGCAACGAGCGCAACCCUUGUUAUUAGUUGCUACCAUUAAGUUGAGCACUCUAAUGAGACUGCCUGGGUAACCAGGAGGAAGGUGGGGAUGACGUCAAAUCAUCAUGCCCCUUAUGUCCAGGGCUACACACGUGCUACAAUGGUAGGUACAAUAAGACGCAAGACCGUGAGGUGGAGCAAAACUUAUAAAACCUAUCUCAGUUCGGAUUGUAGGCUGCAACUCGCCUACAUGAAGCUGGAGUUGCUAGUAAUCGCGAAUCAGAAUGUCGCGGUGAAUACGUUCCCGGGCCUUGUACACACCGCCCGUCACACCAUGAGAGCUGGUAACACCCGAAGUCCGUGAGGUAACCGUAAGGAGCCAGCGGCCGAAGGUGGGAUUAGUGAUUGGGGUGAAGUCGUAACAAGGUAGCCGUAGGAGAACCUGCGGCUGGAUCACCUCCUUUCUA